UGAACGCUGGCGGAAUGCUUUACACAUGCAAGUCGAACGGUAGAGGGGGCAACCCCUUGAGAGUGGCGAACGGGUGAGUAAUAUAUCGGAACGUGCCCAGUCGUGGGGGAUAACGUAGUGAAAAUUACGCUAAUACCGCAUACGAUCUAAGGAUGAAAGCGGGGGAUCGCAAGACCUCGCGCGAUUGGAGCGGCCGAUAUCAGAUUAGGUAGUUGGUAGGGUAAAGGCCUACCAAGCCAACGAUCUGUAGCUGGUCUGAGAGGACGACCAGCCACACUGGAACUGAGACACGGUCCAGACUCCUACGGGAGGCAGCAGUGGGGAAUUUUGGACAAUGGGCGAAAGCCUGAUCCAGCCAUUCCGCGUGCAGGAUGAAGGCCCUCGGGUUGUAAACUGCUUUUGUACAGAACGAAAAGGUCUCUAUUAAUACUAGGGGCUCAUGACGGUACUGUAAGAUAAGCACCGGCUAACUACGUGCCAGCGGCCGCGGUAAUCU
rnacentral:rRNA from 1 species